GCGACAACGGAGUUUCAAUUAGGUUAAGGAGGACGACUUUUUCUGGUCAAUCUCCAGCGUAAGCCGUUGUAGUGUCGAACCGAUAGGAUUUCUUUUCUCUUGCAAUGGAAAAUCAGCAACGUAACGGAACUCAAACCGGAUUCAAUCAAUGUCAUUAAAGUUUUCCUUAACUUCAUCUCCCCCACUCCUUCCAUGAUUCUUCAGCUCCCACCUAGCUUCCAAGCACAAUGGAAAAGUCCUCUCGCCUGUGAGCUCUUGCAGGAAACCCGAGACUUCACGGCGGAAGAUAAUCGUCGAAAAGGAGUGUGGCACAGUAGGAGGAAGAAAGCGGCGGCGAUGGAGGAGAGAAAGAGGAUGAAAGUGGUUAAGAAUAAA